rnacentral:rRNA from 1 species
UACGUAGGGUGCGAGCGUUUGUCCGGAUUUAUUGGGCGUAAAGAGCUCGUAGGCGGUUUGUCGCGUCGGCCGUGAAAUCUCCACGCUUAACGUGGAGCGUGCGGUCGAUACGGGCAGACUUGAGUUCGGUGAGGGAGACUGGAAUUCCUGGUGUAGCGGUGAAAUGCGCAGAUAUCAGGAGGAACACCGGUGGCGAAGGCGGGUCUCUGGGCCGAUACUGACGCUGGAGGAGCGAAAGCGUGGGGAGCGAACAGG